GACAAAAAAUACUAAUGUAUUAAAUUUUAUUUAGUACAAUUGGAAUGGAAACAAUCCAAAACCCUUAUUGAGUAACAAUUAGAGGGCAAGUCUGGUGCCAGCAGCCGCGGUAAUUCCAGCUCUAAUAGCGUAUAUUAAUACUGUUGCAGUUAAAACGCUCGUAGUUGAACUUAGAAUUAUUACAAGUUUGGUUUAAUUGAUUUUAAACUGCUUGCUUAAUUCUUAUCUACUAGAUACUCUAUUCUGUACUUAAUUGUAUGGAAUAUCACCUAGCCAGUGGAACUUUUGGUUGAAUAAUGCCUUUUUUAAUACCAGAGUGUAAAAACUUGAAGUGUUAAAUUGGGAUAACAUUAUUUUAUUGAAGUGGGGUUCUAGUUAAUUUACUUUGAGUAAAAUUAGAGUGUUCAAAGCAGCCUCUUGGGGCUUUGAAUAGAUUUAGCAUGGGAUAAUAGAAUAGGAUUUGAUAAUCUAUUUGUUGGUUUGAAUUAAUC
rnacentral:rRNA from 1 species